rnacentral:sRNA from 1 species
GCCAGGUGCCGUGGCGCACGCCUGUAAUCCCAGUGGCUCAGGAGGCUGAGGCAGGAGGAUAGCAGGUUCAAGGCCAGCCUCAGCAACUUGGUGAGACCUUAAGAAACUCAGUGAGAUCCUGUCUUUA